rnacentral:rRNA from 1 species
GCAAGUCGAACGGCAGCGCGGGCUUCGGCCUGGCGGCGAGUGGCGAACGGGUGAGUAAUACAUCGGAACGUGCCCUGUUGUGGGGGAUAACUAGUCGAAAGAUUAGCUAAUACCGCAUACGACCUGAGGGUGAAAGCGGGGGACCGCAAGGCCUCGCGCAAUAGGAGCGGCCGAUGUCUGAUUAGCUAGUUGGUGGGGUAAAGGCCUACCAAGGCGACGAUCAGUAGCUGGUCUGAGAGGACGAUCAGCCACACUGGGACUGAGACACGGCCCAGACUCCUACGGGAGGCAGCAGUGGGGAAUUUUGGACAAUGGGGGCAACCCUGAUCCAGCAAUGCCGCGUGUGUGAAGAAGGCCUUCGGGUUGUAAAGCACUUUUGUCCGGAAAGAAAUCGCGCUGGCUAAUACCUGGCGUGGAUGACGGUACCGGAAGAAUAAGCACCGGCUAACUACGUGCCAGCAGCCGCGGUAAUACGUAGGGUGCGAGCGUUAAUCGGAAUUACUGGGCGUAAAGCGUGCGCAGGCGGUUUUGUAAGACAGGCGUGAAAUCCCCGAGCUCAACUUGGGAAUGGCGCUUGUGACUGCAAGGCUAGAGUAUGUCAGAGGGGGGUAGAAUUCCACG